UCCUAUACCCAGCAGCCCAGCUGCAGCACCUCUGGAGGCUCCUGCUUCUGAACCAGUUCCAUGAUGUGGUGACUGGAAGCUGCAUCCAGAUGGUGGCAGAGGAAGCCAUGUGCCACUAUGAAGACAUCCGUUCCCAUGGCAAUACACUGCUCAGCGCCGCAGCCGCAGCCCUGUGUGCUGGGGAGCCAGGUCCUGAGGGCCUCCUCAUCGUCAACACGCUGCCCUGGAAGCGGACCGAAGUGAUGGCCCUGCCCAAACCAGGCGGGGCCCACAGCCUAGGUAUGAGCUGAGGGGAAGGGUUGCUACUGCAGCAGGAAGGAUGGAGGCCAGACAGAUCAGGCCUGGGAUACCCCUAGGGAUCUGGGUGCCCUUGAAUGGAGAGUAGUAGCACAUCUUCCACCACCCCAUCCCCACCUGCGCAAGCUUCCUGAAAGGUCAGGAAGGCUGCACUGAUGCCCAGGCCUCACCCCCAGCCCUGGUGACAGUGCCCAGCAUGGGCUAUGCUCCUGUUCCUCCCCCGACCUCGCUGCAGCCCCUGCUGCCCCAGCAGCCUGUGU
rnacentral:sRNA from 1 species